ensembl:snoRNA SNORD101 small nucleolar RNA, C/D box 101
GUUUGAAUGAUGACUUUAAUUGUCGGAUACCCCUUCACUCCUUUUAUGAGUGAGACAUAAGAGUCUGACAAAC